rnacentral:rRNA from 1 species
ACGAACGCUGGCGGCGUGCCUAAUACAUGCAAGUCGAACGCUUCUUUUUCCACCGGAGCUUGCUCCACCGGAAAAAGAGGAGUGGCGAACGGGUGAGUAACACGUGGGUAACCUGCCCAUCAGAAGGGGAUAACACUUGGAAACAGGUGCUAAUACCGUAUAACAAUCGAAACCGCAUGGUUUUGAUUUGAAAGGCGCUUUCGGGUGUCGCUGAUGGAUGGACCCGCGGUGCAUUAGCUAGUUGGUGAGGUAACGGCUCACCAAGGCGACGAUGCAUAGCCGACCUGAGAGGGUGAUCGGCCACAUUGGGACUGAGACACGGCCCAAACUCCUACGGGAGGCAGCAGUAGGGAAUCUUCGGCAAUGGACGAAAGUCUGACCGAGCAACGCCGCGUGAGUGAAGAAGGUUUUCGGAUCGUAAAACUCUGUUGUUAGAGAAGAACAAGGAUGAGAGUAACUGUUCAUCCCUUGACGGUAUCUAACCAGAAAGCCACGGCUAACUACGUGCCAGCAGCCGCGGUAAUACGUAGGUGGCAAGCGUUGUCCGGAUUUAUUGGGCGUAAAGCGAGCGCAGGCGGUUUCUUAAGUCUGAUGUGAAAGCCCCCGGCUCAACCGGGGAGGGUCAUUGGAAACUGGGAGACUUGAGUGCAGAAGAGGAGAGUGGAAUUCCAUGUGUAGCGGUGAAAUGCGUAGAUAUAUGGAGGAACACCAGUGGCGAAGGCGGCUCUCUGGUCUGUAACUGACGCUGAGGCUCGAAAGCGUGGGGAGCAAACAGGAUUAGAUACCCUGGUAGUCCACGCCGUAAACGAUGAGUGCUAAGUGUUGGAGGGUUUCCGCCCUUCAGUGCUGCAGCUAACGCAUUAAGCACUCCGCCUGGGGAGUACGACCGCAAGGUUGAAACUCAAAGGAAUUGACGGGGGCCCGCACAAGCGGUGGAGCAUGUGGUUUAAUUCGAAGCAACGCGAAGAACCUUACCAGGUCUUGACAUCCUUUGACCACUCUAGAGAUAGAGCUUCCCCUUCGGGGGCAAAGUGACAGGUGGUGCAUGGUUGUCGUCAGCUCGUGUCGUGAGAUGUUGGGUUAAGUCCCGCAACGAGCGCAACCCUUAUUGCCAGUUACUACGUUAAGAGGACUCUGGCGAGACUGCCGUUGACAAAACGGAGGAAGGUGGGGAUGACGUCAAAUCAUCAUGCCCCUUAUGACCUGGGCUACACACGUGCUACAAUGGGAAGUACAACGAGUCGCAAAGUCGCGAGGCUAAGCUAAUCUCUUAAAGCUUCUCUCAGUUCGGAUUGUAGGCUGCAACUCGCCUACAUGAAGCCGGAAUCGCUAGUAAUCGCGGAUCAGCACGCCGCGGUGAAUACGUUCCCGGGCCUUGUACACACCGCCCGUCACACCACGAGAGUUUGUAACACCCGAAGUCGGUGAGGUAACCUUUUGGAGCCAGCCGCCUAAGGUGGGAUAGAUGAUUGGGGUG